rnacentral:lncRNA from 1 species
UGAUAUUUGUUUUGUGGUGCAGGAGCUUCAAGACAGAAGGCUUCACUGCAACAUAUUCGUCUAUGAGUUUCUCCCCAAAUCUGAAAUUAUUUGCCAUCUAAAUUUUAAUUCCGUGGAGAAAAUCAGAGUAUUUAUCGACUAUAUAUGCUCUAUGGAUGUUGACAAAUUUGAUUGCAGGGGCUAGCAAUGCUUCAUUUCCUACAACUGUUUCUUGUGUUAUUACUUCCACAGUGAGUGACAAGUUUGCAAACUCAUAUAUGCCGAGGUCGGCUGCUAAUGGGUUGCAGGUGGCCGGGAUUGAGGAAAUUAUAUUAGGAAAGGAGUGCUCCCUCUGUUUUGUGGUUCAGCAACAUUCUCUAUUAGAAUGUACAUUAUAUUUGUUUCCUUCUCUAUUGAUAAUUGUAAGUGAACAUUUUCUCUCUUAAAGAAUAGAAAUCAGGACUGCUGUUUUUUUUCAAAAUGAAUUUACAUUUUUAGAGUAUUUAAUUCUUUAAAACACUAUAAAAGCUCAUGUUGAGUGUGUAAAUUCCCAUCAUUUUGUUGGAGGUCUGAAAAUUGACAUUUUCUUACAUUUCCUCAUUCUUAAUUUCCAGAUCUGAACUGUGACCGCUGCUUACCGAUUCUCACAUCCAUUUUUAUCUGUUUUACAAGGAUGCAUCCCUUCUUACAUGGGGAAGCAGAUAACAAGAACGAAUAGAGCAGGAUGCCAACCUCCUCCAAGGAAGAUAACUAUGGUGCAUGACCUCAAGCAAUUGCCACUUUAGAUUGGUAACAAUAAUUGGAAAUCCUAUAGAUUUCUUUUGUUUUCAAUUAGUGGUACUGAAGAUUGCUCUUGGCACAAGAAUAGUGGAAGGUUACAGGUUCUUAGGGAAUGUAGUUCUUUUUAUUUCCAUCAUGUUAGAAGUUGCAUGUGUAGAAUUAAUGAAAUCGAUGAGGUGUGUCAGUAUACAUGUACAGGAUUUAUUGUGUGAGUCUCACAUAUUGACACAUGUAUGAAUAAGUUUCAGUUUU